UUAGUCAACAACAGGCCCAAUUUGACCAUUCGCUACUCGCCACGACCCAACACCUAUCCGAUUUAACCAAUCAAAAGACAGUAUACGAGACGGGCUACCGAAAGCAGGUGCUCUAGUUCAUGAAUAUAUGUAGUAAACGACAGAAAGGUGCUUAGGAAUCAGCAUCGCUGUACGGUGGGAUUCAAGCCGAAUAAACGGGUAAUCAGGUUGAGAUUAGGAAUCCGCAUCGCUGUACGGUGGGAUUCAUGUCGAAUAAGCGGGUAAUCGGGUCUACGGUUCGUUCUUGCCCCCGACCGACCAAAAGAUGCUUUCGGCGUCCCGCCACCACGCCUCCCUCGUCCACCUGCUCCAACUCCACUAGUUCCUACCCAAAGCCGCCCUCGACCACCACCCAUUCGUCGCUUCCAAGCUCAUCUUCUCUCUCCGUCGCCGAUGCCUGCCCGGUUCUUCGUUUGGAACUCCCUUAUCCGUGCGUUCCCCGGUUCGGACUUCCACCCAUCCGCUUGUUCUCAAAACCUAUCGCCGAGUUUCCGUGUUGCGACUCGGUGAAAUGGUUUAUGCGCCGGCCUUAAAUGCGGGGCGUUUGCUGGAUUUCUACGUUGGCGGGCCCUCUCUUAGUGGGAUGUCCUGAAGCGCUCGGAAGGUAUUCGAUGGAAUGGGUGUUUGGGAUGUCGUUUCAUGAAGCUCCAUAAUUCAAGGAUGUCUUGCAUGGCAUUUUCAAAAAGGUGAAGGUGGCUUCGUGGCAACUCUCAUACUGGUGCCUCGGAAACUCAAAUCACAGAAUCAGCAAAAAGUUGUCGCAGACACUUCUCUCAAUCUAUCAACUUGCAAAUUCAUACUGGCCCAUGGCACAUGGCUCAUGCAAAUGUGGUAUGGGAAUGGGCCGUUUUGGAAAAUAUUCAUGGUGCAUGUAGAAACCCUGUAUAUGCUCAAGUCUAGGACCGAAAAUGGAUUAAUGUGUACCAUAUGUUGAAAAAGAUUAGGUGCAAAAUAUGCUUAUUAAUAGGUGAUCAUAUUGAUUAUAAUACCAUGAACAUACUAGGUGCAGAAUGAACCUUUUUUUUUAGUUUUAUGCAGUGUUUAUUGGUAA